GACGAACGCUGGCGGCGUGCUUAACACAUGCAAGUCGAACGGAAAGGCCCUGCUUUUGUGGGGUGCUCGAGUGGCGAACGGGUCAGUAACACGUGAGUAACCUGCCCUUGACUUUGGGAUAACUUCAGGAAACUGGGGCUAAUACCGGAUAGGAGCUCCUGCUGCAUGGUGGGGGUUGGAAAGUUUCGGCGGUUGGGGAUGGACUCGCGGCUUAUCAGCUUGUUGGUGGGGUAGUGGCUUACCAAGGCUUUGACGGGUAGCCGGCUUGAGAGGGUGACCGGCCACAUUGGGACUGAGAUACGGCCCAGACUCCUACGGGAGGCAGCAGUGGGGAAUAUUGCACAAUGGGCGGAAGCCUGAUGCAGCAACGCCGCGUGCGGGAUGACGGCCUUCGGGUUGUAAACCGCUUUCGCCUGUGACGAAGCGUGAGUGACGGUAAUGGGUAAAGAAGCACCGGCUAACUACGUG
rnacentral:rRNA from 1 species